rnacentral:tRNA from 1 species
GCCCAGAUAGCUCAGCUGGUAGAGCAGCGGAUUGAAAAUCCGCGUGUCCGUGGUUCGAAUCCGCGUCUGGGCA